CCUCAUCUCCAUCCUGGGGUGUCUGAGUUCCCAAAAUGGGCACAGCCUUCACAGACUCAGCAAUGAGACACCAGCUUCGCAUCAUCUUAGGGCAGAGGAGGAAGAGGACAGAGAAAGAAGCACUCAACAUUCUUCAGGACCCAAACACCCAGGAGCACCUACAGCAGAUUGCAGCAUGCACUGGUGGGCAUCUCAGAGCGGUACCCACGGGGUGGUCGCAUGCCCAGGCCAUCCCACUAAUGGUGCUCCAACACAGGUCUGGCUGUUUUCCUUCUGUUGUUAAGAGUAAAGCACAUCUCAUUUGCUGCAGAAAACAAAAGCUCGGCUGGGAUCAUUACAGCUCGUGCUGCAUCCAGGCCACUGUUCGACCCCGUUUCCUUUGGGAGAUGAAGCUGGUGUGAGAGGGUCCCCUGGCCCCGAGCCUUGCUCCCCUUCCUGCCCAUCUGCUGCUGCGUGCUGUGGUGGCCUCUGCUGUGACCCCCGUC